UCCCUGAUAGCUCAGCAGGUAAAGAAUCUGCCUAUAAUGCAGGAGACCCUGGUUCGAUCCCUGGGUUGGGAA
rnacentral:tRNA from 1 species